CUUGCUCCUCCGGUUGAUGGACCCCAACUUGUUAAAACCCAUCUAAUUUACACAACAAGCCAAGUAUGUCAAACGAUUCAGAUUUACAAGUAUCAAACAAGAAUUCUGUUUCAGAUAAGAACAAAGAAACUAUGGUUCAUAAUGGUGGCAGUGCACGACAGCUAGAAAAAUGUUUUGCUGGACACAAGAAUGUUGUGCGAAACCAAGAAGCUUUUGAUCAUAGUUACACUGCUCAGCAAGGGGAAACAAAUUCUGCUACACAUAAGGUAUGUUUCUGUUACCAUACACAAU